UACAGAGGGUGCAAGCGUUGUUCGGAAUUAUUGGGCGUAAAGAGCUCGUAGGCGGUUUGUCGCGUCCGCUGUGAAAAUCCAGGGCUUAACCCUGGACCUGCAGUGGGUACGGGCAGACUAGAGUGCGGUAGGGGAGAUCGGAAUUCCUGGUGUAGCGGUGAAAUGCGCAGAUAUCAGGAGGAACACCGGUGGCGAAGGCGGAUCUCUGGGCCGUAACUGACGCUGAGGAGCGAAAGCAUGGGGAGCGAACAGG
rnacentral:rRNA from 1 species